ACGUAGGUGGCAAGCGUUGUCCGGAUUUACUGGGUGUAAAGGGCGUGUAGGCGGGACAGUAAGUCAGAUGUGAAAUGCUGAGGCUUAACCUCAGAGCUGCAUUUGAAACUAUUGUUCUUGAGUGAUGGAGAGGCAGGCGGAAUUUCGUGUGUAGCGGUGAAAUGCGUAGAGAUACGGAGGAACACCAGUGGCGAAGGCGGCCUGCUGGACAUUAACUGACGCUGAGGCGCGAAAGCGUGGGGAGCAACCAG
rnacentral:rRNA from 1 species